rnacentral:lncRNA from 1 species
GAACUAGCUGAACACUUAACACAUGACAUGAAUAAUUUAAAAAAAAACCAAAUGAAAAAAAUAAUUACUGAUUUUUUUUACAACAUAUUAAUUUAUUGUAUUAGUAAAAAUAUAUCUAUAGUCGAAAUAUCAACUUUUUUGUCUAUUAAAAAAUAUAUUUUUAUAAAAUUUAUAACAAAUUAUAAUGAUAUAACAAAUUUUUUUUUAGAAUUUAAAAAUAUUAUGUUAAAUCAUUCAAUAAAUAGAUCACCUUAUUGUGUAAAGGUUUUUUCAUACUCUUCUUUAAAAUUGUUAAUAAAAUAUUCAUUAAAAACUUUUUUUAAAAAUUUCUCUUUCUAUAAAUAUAUUUUUAAUCCUUAUUAUAAAAUCAAUUUUAAUUAUGAGAAACAAAAUUCACUUGUUUUUAACAUUACCGAUAGUGCUAGCUAUGAUGGUGAUAAAAUUUAUUUUGACUUAAAUACGCCUAGUGCUGUUGACCACGUGAAGCUCUUAAUUUCACUCAAUGUAGGGAGCUUAAACCAUUUAAACCCAAUUGAAAACGAAGAAACUGAUUUCAAAAAUAAAAUAAAAAGAUAUUUCGAUGAGUUUAAUAUAAAAAAUGAUCCUAAUGUUUUUAUAAUAAAUAAAUAUACAACAAAUAGAAAUCUAAGUAAACUGUUUAAAAACAUAAAAAGAAAUACAACGGAAGACAUAAACUUAAUAGAAGAAAAUCAAAAAACGGAAAAUGUAACUGAUAAUGUUUUCUUAAAAAAAAAGCAAUUGAUGAAUAAAGUUAAUAAUAUGUAUGCUGAUUUAGAGAAACGUGUUUUAUUACGCUUAAAUACAUUUUUAACUAAUGACAAUUAGGAAACUAGGAACGAAGAUAAAAAUACAUGUAAAAAAAAAAAAAAAUUUUUUUAAUUAUAAGAAUUAGGAGUAUAUCAAUCUAGAACAACAACAAAAUAUCACUUUAUUUUAUUAUGUAUAUAAAUACACAUUCAUUCUAUUUUGCUGUUAAAUUAUAUAAUCAAUUUGCAUCGCUUUAACUAUCUAUGUGGAUGAAGGUUUAUAUAAAAUAAAAUUGUCAAUGUAAUUAAUUAAAUUAUAUUU